rnacentral:rRNA from 1 species
ACUCAAAUGAAUUGACGGGGACCCGCACAAGCGGUGGAGCAUGUGGUUUAAUUCGACGGUAAGCGAGAAACCUUACCCGGGCUCAACUACUAGCUGCAAACUCUAUGAAAGUAGAGUGCCUUCGAGGGUGCUAGAUAGGUGCUGCAUGGUUGUCGUCAGCUCGUGCCGUAAGGUGUACCCUUCAGUGGGGUAACGAGCGCAACCCCUAUUCCGUGUUACACGUGUCACGGGAGACUGCUUUCGUAAGAAAGAGGAAGGCGGGGAUGACGUCAAAUCAGCAUGGCUCUUACGUCCGGGGCGACACACAUGCUACAAUGGUCGGUACAACGGGUUGCCAAACCGCAAGGUGGAGCAAAUCCCUUAAAGCCGGCCCCAGUUCAGAUUGAGGGCUGCAACUCGCCCUCAUGAAGUCGGAAUCGCUAGUAACGGUGCAACAGCUCGGCGCCGUGAAUACGUUCUCGGGUCUUGUACACACCGCCCGU